UACGUAGGGUGCGAGCGUUAAUCGGAAUUACUGGGCGUAAAGCGUGCGUAGGCGGUCCGCGAAGUCUGAUGUGAAAUCCCCGGGCUUAACCUGGGAACUGCAUUUGUGACUGCAUGGCUAGAGUGCGGCAGAGGGGGAUGGAAUUCCGCGUGUAGCAGUGAAAUGCGUAGAUAUGCGGAGGAACACCGAUGGCGAAGGCAAUCCCCUGGGCCUGCACUGACGCUCAUGCACGAAAGCGUGGGGAGCAAACAGG
rnacentral:rRNA from 1 species